GUUGGAGUGGCUCAGCGAUAGAGCACUCGCCUAGCAUAUGCGGGGCCCUGGGUUCGAUCCUCAGCACCAUAUA
rnacentral:tRNA from 1 species